AUCAGCGCUUCCGCGCGCCUUCUCUCUCCCCCAAAAAAUACGAUUUGUCUGGUUGAUUCCGAUAACGAACGAAACUCUAGCCUAUUAAAUAGGUGAGUGGUUCUUUGCACCUUGCACCCUUUUUAGAGGGACAAGCGGCUCCUAGCCACACGAAAUAGAGCAAUAACAGGUCUGUCAUGCCCUUAGAUGUCCGGGGCCGCACGCGCGCUAC
rnacentral:ncRNA from 1 species